UUUCCUUGAGGGUAACACCCGUUGGACCUUAAGCAUAUCAAUAAGCGGAGGAAAAGAAACUAACAAGGAUUCCCCUAGUAACUGCGAGUGAAGCGGGAAAAAGCUCAAAUUUAAAAUCUGAUGGUCUUUGGCCGUCCGAGUUGUAAUUUAGAGAAGCGUCUUCCGCGCUGGACCGUGCACAAGUCUCCUGGAAUGGAGCGUCAUAGAGGGUGAGAAUCCCGUCUUUGGCACGGACACACCAGGGCUUUUGUGAUGCGCUCUCGAAGAGUCGAGUUGUUUGGGAAUGCAGCUCAAAAUGGGUGGUGAACUCCAUCUAAAGCUAAAUAUUGGCGAGAGACCGAUAGCGAACAAGUACCGUGAGGGAAAGAUGAAAAGCACUUUGGAAAGAGAGUGAAACAGUACGUGAAAUUGUUGAAAGGGAAACGCUUGAAGUCAGUCGCGUCGACCGAGACUCAGCCUUGCCUUGGCUUGGUGUACUUCUCGGCUGACGGGUCAGCAUCAAUUUUGCCCCUUGGAUAAUGGCGAGGGAAAUGUGACACCUUUGCGGUGUGUUAUAGUCCCUCGUCGCAUGCAAGGGUUGGGAUUGAGGAACUCAGCACGCGCCUUUGGGCGUCGGGGCUUUGCCCACGAUACGUGCUUAGGAUGUUGGCGUAAUGGCUUUAAACGACCCGUCUUGAAACACGGACCAAGGAGUCUAACAUGCCUGCGAGUGUUCGGGUGGAAAACCCGUGCGCGCAAUGAAAGUGAAAGUUGGGACCUCUGUCGUGGAGGGCACCGACGCCCGGACCAGACCUUCUGUGACGGCUCUGCGGUAGAGCAUGUAUGUUAGGACCCGAAAGAUGGUGAACUAUGCCUGAAUAGGGUGAAGCCAGAGGAAACUCUGGUGGAGGCUCGUAGCGAUUCUGACGUGCAAAUCGAUCGUCAAAUUUGGGUAUAGGGGCGAAAGACUAAUCGAACCAUCUAGUAGCUGGUUCCUGCCGAAGUUUCCCCUUUCAGGAAUAAGGAAA
rnacentral:rRNA from 1 species